GUGGAGAAGGAGUUUUCUCAGUCGUCUUCCAGUAAACACUCAUGUUCUCAAGUGAUAUCCAAUGUUGAAGAACAGUUUCUAAAUGCUGGUGACUUUGUGUACAAUGCUUUCAUUUCUUCCAUUGAAGUGGAAAAGAAGGUUGUCAUCGUUGGUACUGUUAUUGCAAUAUCAAAUAAUAAGCCUUGGUACUAUUUAGCAUGCAAUCAUUGUAAGAAACAAAUUGAAGAGAGAUCUCAGCUGGUUGAAAAAGAGGACGGCAGCUUUGACGUUUUAGAUCAGAAUAUCAUUGAGUGUACAAACGGUGAUUGCGAGGCUGUUGACAUUACCCCUAUUCAUCGAUACAAGAUACCUCUAAGGGUUCAGGAUUCGACAGGGACUGUGUCUUGUACGUUGUUUGAUUAUGAAGCUAUUAAGCUUUUUAAGAAAACCGCCAAACAACUCCUGGAUGUUUAUAC